rnacentral:lncRNA from 1 species
GCAGAAAUAGUUUGCUAGAGUGGGGAAGUAUACACUGAUAAGAUCACAGAUCCAUUCAAGUGCCAAAGUCUCUGAUGAGCCUACAUAGCUAUUUGAGCUCAGUGUUCUAGUGCAGGAAGGCACUGAUUGUUAUUGUGUUAAGCCAAACCCUGCUAUGUGUGUAACUGGAAUUUUCUUAACAGUAGAAUAGAAUGCUCAUUUUUUUAAACUCUAGGAGCUCCUUUGAAAAAUUCUUGAACGGUUUGGAUUCUUUAGGAAGCUUUGAACCAAACCUAUUCUUGUGGGAAAAAAAAAAUACUUUUUCUGUCUUAACCAAGUUUCAAAAGGAAAUCUCCAUAAUUUCCUAGCAUGACAGUGAGCAGGAUCAUAUACCCUCAUCUCAUCCUGUAAUUAGAGGCAUGAGGGUGGUAAUUCUACUACCCUUGAUGCAGAAAAUAAUUCAUUGUAAUUAGUUUUAAAAAUAUUUUCCAUUUUUUUUAUUUGUAGUUUUUUUCCACUUUCAUCCUGUGGAAAGGAAACAAGACUGACAGUUUGUGGGGGAAGGGGCCAACUGGGAGUGGCAGUUGGGUCUUGUGACUAGCACUUCCUUCCUGCCGGGUGGGACUUGCUUCCAGGUAUUGGAGGAGAGAGGACCUUGUUCAGCCCACUCUGUCUUGGUUCAGCCAGAAGACAAAGGCUUCUAAAGGAUGCAACAUCAUUAUCCUUCAUGUUUAAUAGAAAGACUUUUAUAUCAUAUGGAUUCUACCCUGAGGAAUACUGCAAGCAAAGGUUAUUGAAUCUAUAGGCACACUUGAGCUGAAUGGUAUUGAUUGACAACUCCCCCCCAUCCAGAAAAGUUCCACAGAUUCUUUUCCAGCAAACUCCUCUGCCCUUUGAGAAGUCAAGAAAUACAAAAUUCAUUACAAAUAUGAAGUCAAGCAAAACAAAUCUGCACAAAAGCCGUGUUUUGAAAAUAAAGCAAUAGAAGCACGAAAAGAAAAAAUAUGAUUCAAUCUGUGUUCUUAGUCCAUUAGUUCUUUUCUUUAAGGUGGAUAGCAUUUUUUUAAUUAUGAGUACUUUCGAGUUUUACUGCUACAUUGUAUUGAUUACACAAAGUAGAUUAGUUUUUCUACAUAUCAAUACAAUUUCAAAUAAUUAUUUUUCUGGCAUUUUCAAUCCAUGUUCUCUCCUUAUCUUCCAUCUACUCCAGGAGAACAAAUAAUAAAUAAAUUGUGUAUAUGUUAUCA